GACGAACGCUGGCGGCGUGCUUAACACAUGCAAGUCGAGCGGGAAACUUCGAUUUCCAGCGGCGGACGGGUGAGUAACACGUGGGCAACCUGCCUCACAAUGAGGGAUAGCCUUCCGAAAGGAAGAUUAAUACCUCAUAACACAAGAGAAACGCAUGUUUCUCUUGCCAAAGAAUUUCGUUGUGAGAUGGGCCCGCGGCGCAUUGGCUUGUUGGUGAGGUAAAGGCUCACCAAGGCUUCGAUGCGUAGCCGACCUGAGAGGUUGAUCGGCCAGAUUGGAACGGGGACACGGUCCAGACGCCUACGGGAGGCAGCAGUGGGGAAUAUUGCACAAUGGAGGAAACUCUGAGGCAGCAACGCCGCGUGAGUGAUGAAGGUCUUCGGAUUGUAAAGCUCUGUCUUCUGGGACGAUAAUGACGGUACCAGAGGAGGAAGCCACGGCUAACUACGUGCCAGCCGCCGCAGUAA
rnacentral:rRNA from 1 species